rnacentral:misc_RNA from 1 species
UACGUAGGGGGCAAGCGUUGUCCGGAAUUAUUGGGCGUAAAGCGAGCGCAGGCGGUCUUUUAAGUCUGAUGUGAAAGCCCACGGCUCAACCGUGGAGGGUCAUUGGAAACUGGAAGACUUGAAUGCAGAAGAGGAGAGUGGAAUUCCACGUGUAGCGGUGAAAUGCGUAGAUAUGAGGAGUAACACCAGUGGCGAAGGCGACUCUCUGGUCUGUAACUGACGCUGAGGCGCGAAAGCGUGGGGAGCGAACAGG